rnacentral:piRNA from 1 species
UGAGAAUGAGUGAUCAUCUUACUGUGUC